UAGGGAAUCUUCGGCAAUGGACGGAAGUCUGACCGAGCAACGCCGCGUGAGUGAAGAAGGUUUUCGGAUCGUAAAGCUCUGUUGUAAGAGAAGAACGAGUGUGAGAGUGGAAAGUUCACACUGUGACGGUAUCUUACCAGAAAGGGACGGCUAACUACGUGCCAGCAGCCGCGGUAAUACGUAGGUCCCGAGCGUUGUCCGGAUUUAUUGGGCGUAAAGCGAGCGCAGGCGGUUAGAUAAGUCUGAAGUUAAAGGCUGUGGCUUAACCAUAGUACGCUUUGGAAACUGUUUAACUUGAGUGCAAGAGGGGAGAGUGGAAUUCCAUGUGUAGCGGUGAAAUGCGUAGAUAUAUGGAGGANNNGCGGUGGCGAAAGCGGCUCUCUGGCUUGUAACUGACGCUGAGGCUCGAAAGCGUGGGGAGCGAACAGGAUUAGAUACCCUGGUAGUCCACGCCGUAAACGAUGAGUGCUAGGUGUUAGGUCCUUUCCGGGACUUAGUGCCGCAGCUAACGCAUUAAGCACUCCGCCUGGGGAGUACGACCGCAAGGUUG
rnacentral:rRNA from 1 species